ACGUAGGGGGCAAGCGUUGUCCGGAAUGAUUGGGCGUAAAGGGCGCGUAGGCGGCCUGGUAAGUCUGGAGUGAAAGUCCUGCUUUUAAGGUGGGAAUUGCUUUGGAUACUGUCGGGCUUGAGUGCAGGAGAGGUAAGUGGAAUUCCCGGUGUAGCGGUGAAAGGCGUGGAGCUCGGGCGGAGCAGCAGUGGCGAAGGCGACUUACUGGACUGUAACUGCGGCUGAUGCGGUAGAGUGUCGGCAGCAAACAU
rnacentral:rRNA from 1 species